rnacentral:rRNA from 1 species
GGUUGAUCCUGCCAGUAGUCAUAUGCUUGUCUCAAAGAUUAAGCCAUGCAUGUCUAAGUAUAAGCUUUUAUACGGUGAAACUGCGAAUGGCUCAUUAAAACAGUUAUAGUUUAUUUGAUGGUCUUUUUUUACAUGGAUAACCAUGGUAAUUCUAUGGCUAAUACAUGCGCAAAUGCCUCCUUCUCUGGAGGGGCUGUGUUUAUUAGAUACAAAACCAACCCACUUCUGUGGAGUCCUGGUGAUUCAUAGUAACCGAACGGAUCGCAUUUGGCUUCGGCCCGCGAUAGAUCUUU